rnacentral:rRNA from 1 species
UACGGAGGGAGCUAGCGUUGUUCGGAAUUACUGGGCGUAAAGCGCACGUAGGCGGCUUUGCAAGUUAGAGGUGAAAGCCCGGGGCUCAACUCCGGAAUUGCCUUUAAAACUGCAUCGCUAGAGUUGUGGAGAGGUAAGUGGAAUUCCGAGUGUAGAGGUGAAAUUCGUAGAUAUUCGGAAGAACACCAGUGGCGAAGGCGACUUACUGGACACAUACUGACGCUGAGGUGCGAACGCGUGGGGAGCAAACAGG